rnacentral:rRNA from 1 species
UCCCCUAGUAACUGCGAGUGAAGCGGGAAAAGCUCAAAUUUAAAAUCUGGCGGUCCUUGUGGCUGUCCGAGUUGUAAUCUAGAGAAGUGCUAUCCGCGCUGGACCGUGUACAAGUCUCCUGGAAUGGAGCGUCAUAGAGGGUGAGAAUCCCGUCUCUGACACGGACUACCAGGGCUUAUGUGAUGUGCUCUCGAAGAGUCGAGUUGUUUGGGAAUGCAGCUCAAAAUGGGUGGUAAAUUCCAUCUAAAGCUAAAUAUUGGCGAGAGACCGAUAGCGAACAAGUACCGUGAGGGAAAGAUGAAAAGAACUUUGGAAAGAGAGUUAAACAGUACGUGAAAUUGUUGAAAGGGAAACGCUUGAAGUCAGUCGCGUCGUCCGGGGAUCAACCUUGCAACUUUGCUAGGGUGCAUUUUCCGGUUGAUGGGUCAACAUCAAUUUUGACCGUUGGAUAAAGGCUUAGGGAAUGUGGCAUCUUCGGAUGUGUUAUAGCCCUUGGUCGCAUACAACGGUUGGGAUUGAGGAACUCAGCACGCCGAAAGGCCGGGUUUUAUAACCACGUUCGUGCUUAGGAUGUUGGCAUAAUGGCUUUAAUCGACCCGUCUUGAAACACGGACCAAGGAGUCUAACAUGCCUGCGAGUAUUUGGGUGGAAAACCCGAGUGCGUAAUGAAAGUGAAAGUUGAGACCUCUGUCAUGGAGGGCAUCGACGCCCGGACCAGACCUUUUGUGACGGAUCCGCGGUAGAGCAUGUAUGUUGGGACCCGAAAGAUGGUGAACUAUGCCUGAAUAGGGUGAAGCCAGAGGAAACUCUGGUGGAGGCUCGUAGCGAUUCUGACGUGCAAAUCGAUCGUCGAAU